rnacentral:rRNA from 1 species
GACGUAGGGCGCGAGCGUUGUCCGGAUUUAUUGGGCGUAAAGAGCUCGUAGGCGGCUUGUUGCGUCGACUGUGAAAACCCGCGGCUUAACCGCGGGCCUGCAGUUGAUACGGGCGGGCUAGAGUUCGGUAGGGGAGACUGGAAUUCCUGGUGUAGCGGUGAAAUGCGCAGAUAUCAGGAGGAACACCGGUGGCGAAGGCGGGUUGCUGGGCUGACACUGACGCUGAGGCGCGAAAGCUAGGGGAGCGAACGGG